rnacentral:rRNA from 1 species
UACAGAGACUGCAAGCGUUAUUCGGAUUCACUGGGCGUAAAGGGUGCGCAGGCGGCCGAGUGUGUGAGGCGUGAAAGCCCGGGGCUUAACCCCGGAAUUGCACCUCAAACUACACGGCUAGAGCAUUGGAGAGGGUAGCAGAAUUCACGGUGUAGCAGUGAAAUGCGUAGAUAUCGUGAGGAAUACCAGAGGCGAAGGCGGCUACCUGGACAGUUACUGACGCUCAGGCACGAAAGCGUGGGGAGCAAAAGGG